GACGAACCGUGCGAACGUUGUUCGGAAUCACUGGGCUUAAAGGGCGCGUAGGCGGCUCGGCAAGUCCGGGGUGAAAGCCCCCAGCUCAACUGGGGAAGGGCCUUGGAAACUGCCGGUCUUGAGGGAGGUAGGGGCCUGUGGAACUUCGGGUGGAGCGGUGAAAUGCGUUGAUAUCCGAAGGAACGCCGGUGGCGAAAGCGACGGGCUGGAUCUCUUCUGACACUGAGGCGCGAAAGCUAGGGUAGCGAACGGG
rnacentral:rRNA from 1 species